CUGAGCAGCUGUAACGGACACUCGGGGAGGAGGUACAGGGGGUUUAAGGAGAGAAGACAUGAAGCUGUCCCCGAGAAGUGGACAUGAAUCUGGGCUGCACGGAAGGCCCACCUGAGAUGCUUGUGGUGACAUGCCAGGCAAAAUCGUGGCCAUCUCAGGCUUGCCCGACUCUGAUGGUUUCAAAGUGAAAGUCAUCGACAGCUUCUUUCCGGCAGGCUCUCGGUUUCUCCUUUUGAAGAUUUCACUUCAUUUCCUCACUGGCAUGUCUACAGAAUAUGCCAAGGGACCAGUGCCACUGCCAUGGGGACCACACGUAGCCUUUGUGGGCUUGAGUCUUCCAUAAUCACUUUGGUCUCAGAAGGUGAGUAUGAGCCCAGCCCUGCUACUUACCAGCUAAUGAUCACAAGCAAGACAUUCACACUCUUCGGUUUCAACUUCUUCAGCUGAACAACAGUGCUAGUUAGCAUGGCUUCCGCCCAAGGCUGAUGCCCAGGCCUGCACGUGAAAGUGGUGUAUAACCCCUACUGAUCUUUCCUAAAAAGACACGUGGGACUACACCUUGAGAGGGGCAAGGAGAGGGAACCCAAGUCUGCUUGCAGCUCAUGGUGGAAAAGCGGAACAAGAACUUGUCGCUAAAGGCAGAAACCCGAGUCGCAUACAUCCGUGGGCACCAGCUUGCUUUCUACUGGGAGUGUCAGAGUGGGAGCUCGGCCGAAGCUUGCACUUGGCAAACGCUCCUGUCCAGCCAAGGGCAGACAGACAGCUGGCGGGACAGCAAAGCAUUCCCCAGAGACACAAACCUCCACACCACUGGUGGGUGUAAUGUUAGGGCCAAUCUUGGCAGCCUUGUCACGGACUGAUCAGCUUUUGGAAACAGGUGGGAUGUAGUGUUCUUGGCCUUUCAGGAGUCAUUUCGGCUCACGGACUAGCAGGAAACAUGGGACUUUAGUGAAUUUCUCUUCCAGCUGAGGCUGAUCGCUGAUGGUUCACCGUCCAGGCACCAGUGCUCAGAGGCCUCCCUAGCUGUAAGGCAGACAGGAAGUGGCCACAAAGCAAACUGGAGGGCCGGGGAAUUACAUGGCAGAUAUCGGCCUCAGUUGUCCCACCUGGAAAGUGGGGUUAUCUCUUAGACCCAGAAGUGGAAGCGAGGGCAGCCCUUGCGAUUCGCAAAGGAAGAGACUGCGACUUGGGAGGUAAACUGAGCGGCUCCAGAGUAGCCCAGACGGAACUACCAGCCAGAUGACCCCCACAGCAGUGCUCCUGGCACCCACCUGUUUCCUCCGGGGAGAAGGAGCUGCCUGAGGGCGGUGCUUGCGUCCAGUCCGUACCACUGCGCCCUCACCCUGCCUCCGAGGACGAAGCCUGCCGGCCAGGUGGCACACGGGCGCUUGAAGAGGCCCCUGCAAACGGUUUCAGGAAGGGCCCUGGGAUUGUCUGACUGACGUGGUGGAGAAUUAGGCGAAGAAGGAGGAGCUCAGUCUUUUUCUUUGCAUUUUUCCUCACACUUUUCUUCAUUCGUGUGCAGCUCAGCGGUGGUCAGGCUGUUCAGUGUUGUGCAGCAGACCUCCAGAGCCCAUCCUCCUUGCAAAGCUGAAACUCUGUACCUAUUGACCCCUGCACCUGCUCCUGGCUCCUGGCUUCCGGCCGCCCCAGCUGCAGCCCUGGUGGCCAUUUGGGGAGUGAAUCAGUGGAUGGACGAUCUCUCUCUCUUUGUAACUCUGCCUUUCAAAUAAAUAAACAAAUCUUAAAAAACAAACAAACAAACAACCUCCCAUCAAUGUUAUUCUUAAUGACUAUAAUAAUUACGUCAAGCAUGUUAUGAGUGUUUUGCAUAUUACAUCCCAUUUAAGCCUCAAAACAGCCCUGUGAAGUAGGCAUUCUUACCAGCAUCUUCCAGGUGA